AAUAAGAAUUCUUCGACGUCAUAAUAAUACUUGACAGUCUAUUGAAAUUAUAGCUACUUUAGCUGAAAUUAUUAACGAUCUUCGAACAGACCAUUCAACGACAGCAAUAUUUAUAUUUUAUAAAUCAUGCUUUAUUAGAGAAAAAAUCGUUCUACGAAGCUUGCAAAAAUACAACAAGAGUUCUUGGUCAUCUUAAAAUUAUCUGACAAGUCUUUACUGUUAUCCAACUUUCCACCAAUCAGCUGAAAUAUCGGAAUGAGCCCAGCUAGAUUUUCAGAGUUCAGAGUGAAACGAAUUAUGCACGAAAUAAACAUUUGUCAGUUGUCGCAGAAAAGGCCUAGAAAAAUAAAUCCUGUACGAAGCUCCGCAAUCUAGUUUCAAAAUUCUACGAACUGUAUUACGAUACUACGAGAAAUGAGGAAGGCCUAGAUACAUGUGGGAGGAGGGUUCGACAGGUUCGUUAGCAUCGACCGCGUCACGGACAAGUACCCGAAGACACAUCGAUCGGGGGCCGCAUCUAUUUCGAAGACGAGGUGACGUGCGAGGGCAGAAGAUCCCGCGGAGGCACCGACGAGAGGUCGGCGAUGCUCGCGAAGGUUAUGACACUCGUAGGAGGACAGACGAGGUCGAGAACAGAGGUUGUUCUCUC